UACCACCUAAUGACAAAAUCCGCAAUCACUUAGUUGCUAACCUAAUAUAAUAAAUAACGAGACAGAAACAUCCUUACGUUUCAAUAACGUACAUAUGUUCUGUUCAUAGUAGAAAAGGGAAACAAGUAACAAAAAAAAAGGUAUUUGUUAAAAAACGAAUUAGACAAAUU